UUGAUCCUGGCUCAGAACGAACGCUGGCGGCGUGGAUAAGACAUGCAAGUCGCACGGAGAAAAGAUAGUUUACCAGCUUUUCUGAGUGGCGCACGGGUGAGUAACACGUGAGCAACCUGCCUCUUAGUGGGGGAUAGCCCUGGGAAACCGGGAUUAAUACCGCAUAUCAUCGCAAGAUGAAAGCAGCAAUGCGCUAAGAGAGGGGCUCGCGGCCUAUUAGUUAGUUGGUGGGGUAACGGCUCACCAAGGCGAUGACGGGUAGCCGGUCUGAGAGGAUGUCCGGCCACACUGGAACUGAGACACGGUCCAGACACCUACGGGUGGCAGCAGUCGAGAAUCAUUCACAAUGGGGGAAACCCUGAUGGUGCGACGCCGCGUGGGGGAAGAAGGUCUUCGGAUUGUAAACCCCUGUCAUGUGGGAGCAAGCUAGCAAUAGUUGAUAGUACCACAAGAGGAAGAGACGGCUAACUCUGUGCCAGCAGCCGCGGUAAUACAGAGGUCUCAAGCGUUGUUCGGAAUCACUGGGCGUAAAGGGUACGUAGGCUGUACCAUAAGUCGGGCGUGAAAGGCA
rnacentral:rRNA from 1 species